rnacentral:rRNA from 1 species
AUUGAACGCUGGCGGCAGGCCUAACACAUGCAAGUCGAACGGUAACAGGAAGCAGCUUGCUGCUUCGCUGACGAGUGGCGGACGGGUGAGUAAUGUCUGGGAAACUGCCUGAUGGAGGGGGAUAACUACUGGAAACGGUAGCUAAUACCGCAUAACGUCACAAGACCAAAGAGGGGGACCUUAUGGCCUCUUGCCAUCGGAUGUGCCCAGAUGGGAUUAGCUAGUAGGUGGGGUAACGGCUCACCUAGGCGACGAUCCCUAGCUGGUCUGAGAGGAUGACCAGCCACACUGGAACUGAGACACGGUCCAGACUCCUACGGGAGGCAGCAGUGGGGAAUAUUGCACAAUGGGCGCAAGCCUGAUGCAGCCAUGCCGCGUGUAUGAAGAAGGCCUUCGGGUUGUAAAGUACUUUCAGCGGGGAGGAAGGGAGUAAAGUUAAUACCUUUGCUCAUUGACGUUACCCGCAGAAGAAGCGCCGGCUAACUCCGUG